AAAGCCUCUAAGCAUCAGGUAACAUUAAAUCGUACCCCAAACCGACACAGGUGGUCAGGUAGAGAAUACCAAGGCGCUUGAGAGAACUCGGGUGAAGGAACUAGGCAAAAUGGUGCCGUAACUUCGGGAGAAGGCACGCUGGUGUGUAGGUGAAGUCCCUGCGGAUGGAGCUGAGACCAGUCGAAGAUACCAGCUGGCUGCAACUGUUUAUUAAAAACACAGCACUGUGCAAACACGAAAGUGGACGUAUACGGUGUGACGCCUGCCCGGUGCCGGAAGGUUAAUUGAUGGGGUUAUCCGUAAGGAGAAGCUCUUGAUCGAAGCCCCGGUAAACGGCGGCCGUAACUAUAACGGUCCUAAGGUAGCGAAAUUCCUUGUCGGGUAAGUUCCGACCUGCACGAAUGGCGUAAUGAUGGCCAGGCUGUCUCCACCCGAGACUCAGUGAAAUUGAACUCGCUGUGAAGAUGCAGUGUACCCGCGGCAAGACGGAAAGACCCCGUGAACCUUUACUAUAGCUUGACACUGAACAUUGAGCCUUGAUGUGUAGGAUAGGUGGGAGGCUUUGAAGCGUGGACGCCAGUCUGCGUGGAGCCAACCUUGAAAUACCACCCUUUAAUGUUUGAUGUUCUAACGUUGGCCCCUGACCGGGGUUGCGGACAGUGUCUGGUGGGUAGUUUGACUGGGGCGGUCUCCUCCCAAAGCGUAACGGAGGAGCACGAAGGUUAGCUAAUCCUGGUCGGACAUCAGGAGGUUAGUGCAAUGGCAUAAGCUAGCUUGACUGCGAGCGUGACGGCGCGAGCAGGUGCGAAAGCAGGUCAUAGUGAUCCGGUGGUUCUGAAUGGAAGGGCCAUCGCUCAACGGAUAAAAGGUACUCCGGGGAUAACAGGCUGAUACCGCCCAAGAGUUCAUAUCGACGGCGGUGUUUGGGCACCUCGAUGUCGGCUCAUCACAUCCUGGGGCUGAAGUAGGUCCCAAGGGUAUGGCUGUUCGCCAUUUAAAGUGGUACGCGAGCUGGGUUUAGAACGUCGUGAGACAGUUCGGUCCCUAUCUGCCGUGGGCGCUGGAGAAUUGAGGGGGGCUGCUCCUAGUACGAGAGGACCGGAGUGGACGCAUCACUGGUGUUCGGGUUGUCAUGCCAAUGGCACUGCCCGGUAGCUAAAUGCGGAAGAGAUAAGUGCUGAAAGCAUCUAAGCACGAAACUUGCCCCGAGAUGAGUUCUCCCUGAGACUUUAAGUCUCCUGAAGGAACGUUGAAGACGACGACGUUGAUAGGCCGGGUGUGUAAGCGCAGCGAUGCGUUGAGCUAACCGGUACUAAUGAACCGUGAGGCUUAACCUUACAACGCCGAAG
rnacentral:rRNA from 1 species